rnacentral:rRNA from 1 species
AGUUCGAUUCUUCGGAUGAAGACUUUUGUGACUGAGCGGCGGACGGGUGAGUAACGCGUGGGUAACCUGCCUCAUACAGGGGGAUAACAGUUAGAAAUGGCUGCUAAUACCGCAUAAGACCACAGUACUGCAUGGUACGGUGAUAAAAACUCCGGUGGUAUGAGAUGGACCCGCGUCUGAUUAGGUAGUUGGUGAGGUAACGGCCCACCAAGCCGACGAUCAGUAGCCGACCUGAGAGGGUGACCGGCCACAUUGGGACUGAGACACGGCCCAGACUCCUACGGGAGGCAGCAGUGGGGAAUAUUGCACAAUGGGCGAAAGCCUGAUGCAGCGACGCCGCGUGAAGGAUGAAGUAUUUCGGUAUGUAAACUUCUAUCAGCAGGGAAGAAAAUGACGGUACCUGACUAAGAAGCCCCGGCUAACUACGUGCCAGCAGCCGCGGUAAUACGUAGGGGGCAAGCGUUAUCCGGAUUUACUGGGUGUAAAGGGAGCGUAGACGGCUGUGCAAGUCUGAAGUGAAAGGCAUGGGCUCAACCUGUGGACUGCUUUGGAAACUGUGCAGCUAGAGUGUCGGAGAGGUAAGUGGAAUUCCUAGUGUAGCGGUGAAAUGCGUAGAUAUUAGGAGGAACACCAGUGGCGAAGGCGGCUUACUGGACGA